rnacentral:rRNA from 1 species
UUGCUUUUCCGCUGACGAGUGGCGCACGGGUGCGUAACGCGUAUACAAUCUGCCUUCAAGCGGGGAAUAGCCCAUGGAAACGUGGAUUAAUACCCCAUAGUAUAUAGACAUCACCUGGUGACUAUAUUAAACAUUUAUGGCUUGAAGAUGAGUAUGCGUCCUAUUAGCUAGAUGGUGUGGUAACGGCACACCAUGGCUACGAUAGGUAGGGGUCCUGAGAGGGAGAUCCCCCACACUGGUACUGAGACACGGACCAGACUCCUACGGGAGGCAGCAGUGAGGAAUAUUGGACAAUGGAGGCAACUCUGAUCCAGCCAUGCCGCGUGCAGGAAGACGGCCCUAUGGGUUGUAAACUGCUUUUAUACGGGAAGAACCACAUCUACGUGUAGAUGCUUGACGGUACCGUAUGAAUAAGGACCGGCUAACUCCGUGCCAGCAGCCGCGGUAAUACGGAGGGUCCGAGCGUUAUCCGGAAUCAUUGGGUUUAAAGGGUCCGUAGGCGGAAUAAUAAGUCAGUGGUGAAAGUCUGCAGCUUAACUGUAGAAUUGCCAUUGAUACUGUUGUUCUUGAAUUAUUAUGAAGUGGUUGGAAUGAGUAGUGUAGCGGUGAAAUGCAUAGAUAUUACUCAGAACACCUAUUGCGAAGGCAGAUCACUAAUAAUAUAUUGACGCUGAG